rnacentral:misc_RNA from 1 species
GAUGAAGAACGCAGCGAAAUGCGAUAAGUAAUGUGAAUUGCAGAAUUCAGUGAACCAUCGAAUCUUUGAACGCACAUUGCGCCCGGCAGUAAUCUGCCGGGCAUGCCUGUCCGAGCGUCAUUUCUGCCCUCGAGCGAGUCCAGCAUCUAGGUGCUGGGCCCGCCCGGCGUUGGGGCACUACGGGAAGCCCUGUGCUGUCCCCCGUAGGCCCCGAAAUGAAGUGGCGGUCCUGCCGCGGCGCCCCCUGCGUAGUAUAACAGCUCGCUUCGGGACCCGGUGGAGGCCUGCCGUCAAACCUUACUCUCUAAGUUUGACCUCGGAUCAGGUAGGGUUACCCGCUGAACUUAAGCAUAUCAAAAGCGGAGGA